rnacentral:rRNA from 1 species
GUAAGGAAUAUUGGUCAAUGGGGGCAACCCUGAACCAGCCAUGCCGCGUGAAGGAUGAAGGCGUUAUGCGUUGUAAACUUCUUUUGUAUGGGAAGAAUGACAGGGAUUUAUCCUUGGAGAGACGGUACCAUACGAAUAAGCACCGGCUAACUCCGUGCCAGCAGCCGCGGUAAUACGGAGGGUGCAAGCGUUAUCCGGAAUCACUGGGUUUAAAGGGUACGUAGGCGGUUAAUUAAGUCAGUAGUGAAAGACUGUCGCUCAACGACGGAUGUGCUAUUGAUACUGGUUAACUUGAAUCAGGUUAGAGUUGGCGGAAUGGGUCAUGUAGCGGUGAAAUGCUUAGAUAUGCUACGGAACACCGAUUGCGAAGGCAGCUUACUAUUUCAUGAUUGACGCUGAGGCACGAAAGCGUGGGUAGCGAACAGGAUUAGAUACCCGGGUAGUCC